AACCGGCGCCCGGAAGCGCGGUUCCCGUGGCGCCCAUGGCCGAGCAGGCGGCCCCUCCGCCUCCGCCGCCGCCGCCGGUCUACGUGCACAGCGCCCAGUACCUGGCGCGAUGCGACGCCCUCUGCAAAGUCCCCGAGCGGGCCAGCAUGGUGCAUUCCUUGAUCGAAUCCUACUCGCUGCUUGAUCACAUGAGGAUUGUCCCGCCCAAAGUAGCUUCCAUGGAGGAGAUGGCCGGCUUCCACACUGAUGCCUACCUGCAGCACCUGCAGAAAGUGAGUGAGGAAGGCGACGAUGACCAUCCGGAAUCGGUGGGAUUCGGACUAGGUUACGACUGCCCGACCUCGGAAGGGAUCUUUGACUAUGCGGCCGCCGUGGGAGGAGCCACCAUCACAGCCGCCCAGUGUUUGGUGAAUGGCGACUGCCAGGUUGCCAUCAACUGGCCUGGAGGCUGGCAUCAUGCAAAGAAGGACGAAGCUUCCGGCUUCUGCUACCUGAACGACGCCGUCCUGGGCAUCUUGCGGCUCCGGCAGAAAUUUGGCCGCGUUCUCUAUGUGGACUUAGAUCUGCAUCACGGGGAUGGUGUAGAAGAUGCCUUCAUCUUCACCUCCAAAGUGAUGACGGUGUCUCUGCAUAAGUUCUCUCCAGGGUUUUUCCCAGGAACAGGAGAUGUGACGGACGUGGGCCUGGGAAAGGGGCGUUACUACAGCGUCAACGUCCCCAUUCAAGACGGCAUCCAGGACGACAGAUACUUCCAGAUCUGCGAGACUGUCCUGAAGGAGGUCUACGCAGCGUUCAGCCCUGAGGCCAUCGUCCUGCAGUUGGGGGCGGACACCAUCGCUGGUGACCCCAUGUGCUCCUUCAACUUGACCCCCGAAGGAGUCGGCCGGUGCCUGAAGUAUGUGUUGCAAUGGCAGCGUCCAACCCUCGUCCUGGGAGGAGGCAGGAGGCUACCAUCUCGCCAACACGGCUCGCUGCUGGGCGUAUUUGACGGCGGUCAUCUUAGGGAAAACGCUGCCCUCCGAAAUCCCGGAUCACAAGUACUUCACGGAAUACGGCCCUGAUUACGUCUUGGAAGUUACACCAAGCUGCAGGCUGGACCGCAACGAGCCGCAGAGAAUCCAAGAAAUCCUGGGCUGCAUUAAAGGCAACCUGAAGAAUGUGGUGUAGUGGAAGAGGACGGAUCCUGUCUUCGCACCUGCCGAAGGCCUCCUGGGAGAGCAAAUUCGCUGGUUGCCACUGCCGGAUCCUUGAAGAAAUCCUCUGGGGGUCUCUGGAAGCCCCCUGGCCACCAACCCAUCACGGCUCCGACUCAUUGCCCCCUUUUAUAAAGCGGCUGGUUCUUGGGAGGAGUUUGAUGGGGUUGGAGCUGGUUCUUUUUUUUAACAGAGGGGUCAUUUCCUUCCAUGGCCUGGUUUGGCUGUUAGAAAAGCGUUCUCUCCCCCUCAGUUAACUAAAAUGUCCUGCGCAGCUGAGGUGGGUUGUGUCUUGUUGGUUGUCUGCUCUGAAAAUAAAAGUGUUUGAUAUAU